rnacentral:tRNA from 1 species
CCCGCCGUAGCUCAGCGGAAGAGCGCCCGGCUGUAGGGCCCUCCAGGCCCGCCCCCGGACCCGAAGGGCCCUUAGGCCCGCGGGAUGAGGGGGCGCCGGCCCAGACACCGGGUGGUCCGGGGUUCGAAUCCCCGCGGCGGGA